UGUGUGUUUAUAUAUGGAAGUAGGGGUAUGUGAGAUAUUUUGAACCUGAGCAGUGGAACUAGUUUGUGUGCAGCACACAUAAAGCUUGAACCCUGUAUCCAGAAAUGUUUCACAUCCUAAACCUUGGAACAAAAGUCAAGAUCUAGUGAUUGACACCAAAAAAAGAGAAAACUCUUGUUUUAAUUUUUCAUCUACAUCAGUAAGUUCAGUAUCCCGGAGAUAGGAACCACAGCAAAAAAAAAAAAAAAAAAAAAAAAAAAAAAAAAAAGACUCCCUGCUGAGAGCCUUUCCUUUUGGGUAAUUGCACUUAUAUCAUUAUGAUAGCCCCUCCCCGUCAUCCCCCUUUAUCCCCAGACUUUUGGGACAAACACUCCUAGUUCCUUUGAAGCUUAAUGUUCACUUGCACCAAGCUGGUUUAUCAUAGACCCAAAACUCUUCUAUCUUCAUAGAAUAAUCUGGUUUCCCACUGGACUUCUUCCUCUCUCAAGAUUCAGCUUUGUUUUUUAGUCUGUUUUCUUUUGCUUGUUUGUUUGUUGUCAUUGCUGCGUCAAUAGCUUUGAUUUUUAAGUUGUAAUUGACAUCCUUCCAGAAGCUGCAUAACUUGUACACUUUGUCUUACUUUCUUGCUUAUAGGCAUCUUAUCUGUAAAGAUCUUUCCCGUUUCCUGUUUCUGUUCAUGGCAGCAUCUCAUUCUCCUUUAAUCAACCUAGAGAUUUCUUAAAAUUUGGAGGGAAAAUUUCAGCUGUGAUCAGUGCUUUUUGUCCCCAUAGAAAGGCAUUUUUGUAGAGGAUGGUGUUUGUGCUAUAGCUGGUCUUGGAGCUGUUAAUACUUCAUUCUCUUCCCAGCUUCACUGAAGGCACAAGACAUAGCCACAAGGAGAGAUAGGAAUACAAAGCUCAUCAUAAACUAGAUGAGACAACACAUUUCCAAGAAUUUGGACUUCUAUAUGUGUACUGAAAUAGAUCCUCUUGCUAAAGCAACUUUGGCAUAAAACGCUGAUAUGGAUGAUUGGGAAAACUGUUCUGCUACAAACAUUAGUUUUUGGAAGUCCCAAGCACAGGACCUUCUGAUUUGGCCUCUGCUAUUCUGUCUCCAUGGACAGUGUACAAUAGCCCUGAAAGACCUCAUCUAAAAUGUAAAUCUUUUCAGAAACCGUUCCUAUCCUUCCUGCUUAGAAGGUAUAAAGACAACAUUGUUUGACCUAUAUUAUCUGGUCCUUUUUAUCACUGACGCUCACAAACAAAUCCAGAUCGGUGAAAAAGUCAGCAUUCCUUUGAAAAUAAAUGUUGGAAGAGCUACCUUGCUAAUAUCUGUUUCUAGUCUAAUAAUCAGACACGUGAUGUAUGUUCUUUUGCUUUUUGACAGAGCCAUACUGUUAGUCAUCCUGGAGUCAGAGGUCAACAUAACUUAUUCUACCAGAUGUAGAAUAAGAAAAUCUGCUAUUGGGGCAUUUAAAAUUGUUCCCAAAAAUUGCUGUGUCAAGACUGAGGCAGAUUUC
rnacentral:lncRNA from 1 species